GACGAACGCUGGCGGCGUGCUUAACACAUGCAAGUCGAACGGAAAGGCCCUGCUUUUGUGGGGUGCUCGAGUGGCGAACGGGUGAGUAACACGUGAGUAACCUGCCCUUGACUUUGGGAUAACUUCAGGAAACUGGGGCUAAUACCGGAUAGGAGCUCCUGCUGCAUGGUGGGGGUUGGAAAGUUUCGGCGGUUGGGGAUGGACUCGCGGCUUAUCAGCUUGUUGGUGGGGUAGUGGCUUACCAAGGCUUUGACGGGUAGCCGGCCUGAGAGGGUGACCGGCCACAUUGGAACUGGGAUACGACCCAGACUACUACGGGAGGCAGCAGUGGGGAAUAUUGCACAAUGGGCGGAAGCCUGAUGCAGCAACGCCGCGUGCGGGAUGACGGCCUUCGGGUUGUAAACCGCUUUCGCCUGAGACGAAGCGUGAGUGACGGUAAUGGGUAAAGAAGCACCGGCUAACUACGUG
rnacentral:rRNA from 1 species